CCGCAUGGUGGGGGGUGGAAAGCCUUUACGGUGGUGGAUGAUGGACUCGCGGACUAUCAGCUUGUUGGUGGGGUUGUGGCCUACCAAGGCUUUGACGGUUAGCCGGCCUGAGAGGGUGAUCGGCCACAUUGGGACUGAGAUACGGCCCAGACUCCUACGGGAGGCAGCAGUGGGGAAUAUUGCACAAUGGGCGAAAGCCUGAUGCAGCGACGCCGCGUGGGGGAUGAAGGCCUUCGGGUUGUAAACUCCUUUCGCUCGUGACGAAGCCUUUCGGGGUGACGGUAGCGGGAGAAGAAGCACCGGCUAACUACGUGCCAGCAGCCGCGGUAAUACGUAGGGUGCGAGCGUUGUCCGGAAUUAUUGGGCGUAAAGAGCUUGUAGGCGGUUUGUCGCGUCUGCUGUGAAAGCCCGGGGCUUAACUCCGGGUCUGCAGUGGGUACGGGCAGGCUAGAGUGUGGUAGGGGAGACUGGAAUUCCUGGUGUAGCGGUGAAAUGCGCAGAUAUCAGGAGGAACACCGAUGGCGAAGGCAGGUCUCUGGGCCAUUACUGACGCUGAGAAGCGAAAGCAUGGGGAGCAAACAGGAUUAGAUACCCUGGUAGUCCAUGCCGUAAACGUUGGGCGCUAGGUGUGGGACUCAUUCCACGAGUUCCGUGCCGUAGCUAACGCAUUAAGCGCCCCGCCUGGGGAGUACGGCCGCAAGGCUAAAACUCAAAGGAAUUGACGGGGGCC
rnacentral:rRNA from 1 species